AAGACUAUGCUUUCAGGGAUCAUUUCUAUAGUUUCUGACUUGGAAGUUUGAUUUGAAAGUGUAACGUCUCUCUAACCACGAUGACGAGUUAAGAUGCUUUCUUCUGAGCGUGAAUCGGGUGGUGAGCGACGAGCGAGAUUGGCUGCUCUCUGUCAUUGAUGAACGUUCCUGCUGUGCUUUGCAGUCUGGAAGAAGAAAGCAUGUUCAAAGUGGUU
ensembl:snoRNA